GCGGGUGUGGCGAAAUUGGCAGACGCGAUAGACUUAGGAUCUAUUGCCGAGAGGCGUGGGGGUUCAAGUCCCUUCACCCGCACCA
rnacentral:tRNA from 1 species